GCUCUAUUAGCCAUCUGGUGAAGGCAUCGCUCUGUCAAGGCGAGAAGGCGGAUUCGAUCUCCGUAUAGAGCGCCA
rnacentral:tRNA from 1 species